rnacentral:rRNA from 1 species
GACGAACGCAGGCGGCGUGCUUAACACAUGCAAGUCGAACGGAAAGGCCCUGCUUUUGUGGGGUGCUCGAGUGGCGAACGGGUGAGUAACACGUGAGUAACCUGCCCUUGACUUUGGGAUAACUUCAGGAAACUGGGGCUAAUACCGGAUAGGAGCUCCUGCUGCAUGGUGGGGGUUGGAAAGUCUCGGCGGUUGGGGAUGGACUCGCGGCUUAUCAGCUUGUUGGUGGGGUAGUGGCUUACCAAGGCUUUGACGGGUAGCCGGCCUGAGAGGGUGACCGGCCACAUUGGGACUGAGAUACGGCCCAGACUCCUACGGGAGGCAGCAGUGGGGAAUAUUGCACAAUGGGCGGAAGCCUGAUGCAGCAACGCCGCGUGCGGGAUGACGGCCUUCGGGUUGUAAACCGCUUUCGCCUGUGACGAAGCGUGAGUGACGGUAAUGGGUAAAGAAGCACCGGCUAACUACGUG